rnacentral:rRNA from 1 species
AUUGAACGCUGGCGGCAUGCCUAACACAUGCAAGUCGCACGCGAAAGGGGCAACCCCGAGUAGAGUGGCGGACGGUGCGUAAUACGUAGGAAUCUACCUGAUAGUGGGGGACACCCGGCGAAAGCCGGGCUAAUACCGCAUACGACCUAUGGGUGAAAGCCGGGACCGCAAGGCCUGGCGCUAUUAGAUGAGCCUGCGUCGGAUUAGCUAGUU